rnacentral:rRNA from 1 species
GACGAACGCUGGCGGCGUGCUUAACACAUGCAAGUCGAACGGAAAGGCCCUGCUUUUGUGGGGUGCUCGAGUGGCGAACGGGUGAGUAACACGUGAGUAACCUGCCCUUGACUUUGGGAAAACUUCAGGAAACUGGGGCUAAUACCGGAUAGGAGCUCCCGCUGCAUGGUGGGGGUUGGAAAGUUUCGGCGGUUGGGGAUGGACUCGCGGCUUAUCAGCUUGUUGGUGGGGUAGUGGCUUACCAAGGCUUUGACGGGUAGCCGGCCUGAGAGGGUGACCGGCCACAUUGGGACUGAGAUACGGCCCAGACUCCUACGGGAGGCAGCAGUGGGGAAUAUUGCACAAUGGGCGGAAGCCUGAUGCAGCAACGCCGCGUGCGGGAUGACGGCCUUCGGGUUGUAAACCGCUUUCGCCUGUGACGAAGCGUGAGUGACGGUAAUGGGUAAAGAAGCACCGGCUAACUACGUG